rnacentral:rRNA from 1 species
GACGUAGGGGGCCAGCGUUGUUCGGAAUUACUGGGUGUAAAGGGUUCGUAGGCGGUGUGGCAAGUCGGGAGUGAAAUCUCUGGGCGUCAACUCAGAGACUGCUUCCGAAACUGCUGUGCUGGAGUGUGGGAGAGGCGCGUGGAAUUGCAGGUGUAGCGGUGAAAUGCGUAGAUAUCUGCAGGAACACCCGUGGCGAAAGCGGCGCGCUGGACCACUACUGACGCUGAGGAACGAAAGCUAGGGGAGCAAACAGG